CUGGUUGGCAAUCAGGUGUUGAGUGUAAGUGCACAAGGGAGCUUGACUGUGAGACCGACGGGUCGAGCAGGGACGAAAGUCGGGACUAGUGAUCCGGCGGUGGCUUGUGGAAGCGCCGUCGCUCAACGGAUAAAAGGUACCCCGGGGAUAACAGGCUGAUCUUCCCCAAGAGUCCAUAUCGACGGGAUGGUUUGGCACCUCGAUGUCGGCUCGUCGCAUCCUGGGGCUGGAGUCGGUCCCAAGGGUUGGGCUGUUCGCCCAUUAAAGCGGUACGCGAGCUGGGUUUAGAACGUCGUGAGACAGUUCGGUCCCUAUCCGCUGUGCGCGUAGGAGUCUUGAGAAGGGCUGUCCCUAGUACGAGAGGACCGGGACGGACGAACCUCUGGUGUGCCAGUUGUCCUGCCAAGGGCAUGGCUGGUUGGCUACGUUCGGGAGGGAUAACCGCUGAAAGCAUCUAAGCGGGAAGCCUGCUUCGAGAUGAGGACUCCCACCCACUUGAUGGGGUAAGGCUCCCAGUAGACGACUGGGUUGAUAGGCCGGAUCUGGAAGCACGGUAACGUGUGGAGGUGACCGGUACUAAUAGGCCGAGGGCUUGUCCUCAGUUG
rnacentral:rRNA from 1 species